GAUGAACGCUGGCGGCGUGCCUAAUACAUGCAAGUCGAGCGAACAGAUGAGGAGCUUGCUCCUCUGACGUUAGCGGCGGACGGGUGAGUAACACGUGUAUAACCUACCUAUAAGACUGGGAUAACUUCGGGAAACCGGAGCUAAUACCGGAUAAUAUAUUGAACCGCAUGGUUCAAUAGUGAAAGACGGUUUUGCUGUCACUUAUAGAUGGAUCCGCGCCGCAUUAGCUAGUUGGUAAGGUAACGGCUUACCAAGGCAACGAUGCGUAGCCGACCUGAUAGGGUGAUCGCCCACACUGGAACUGAGACACGGUCCAGACUCCUACGGGAGGCAGCAGUCGGGAAUCUUCCGCAAUGGGCGAAAGCCUGACGGAGCAACGCCGCGUGAGUGAUGACGGUCUUCGGAUCGUAAAACUCUGUUAUUAGGGAAGAACAAAUGUGUAAGUAACUAUGCACGUCUUGACGGUACCUAAUCAGAAAGCCACGGCUAACUACGUG
rnacentral:rRNA from 1 species